rnacentral:rRNA from 1 species
UACGGGGGGGGGCAAGCGUUGUUCGGAAUUACUGGGCGUAAAGGGCUCGUAGGCGGCCAACUAAGUCAUACGUGAAAUCCCUCGGCCUUAACCGGGGAACUGCGUCUGAUACUGGAUGGCUUGAGUUCGGGAGAGGGAUGCGGAAUUCCAGGUGUAGCGGUGAAAUGCGUAGAUAUCUGGAGGAACACCGGUGGCGAAGGCGGCAUCCUGGACCGAUACUGACGCUGAUGAGCGAAAGCCAGGGGAGUAAACGGG